rnacentral:rRNA from 1 species
GGUUAAGCGACUAAGCGUACACGGUGGAUGCCCUGGCAGUCAGAGGCGAUGAAGGACGUGCUAAUCUGCGAUAAGCGUCGGUAAGGUGAUAUGAACCGUUAUAACCGGCGAUUUCCGAAUGGGGAAACCCAGUGUGUUUCGACACACUAUCAUUAACUGAAUCCAUAGGUUAAUGAGGCGAACCGGGGGAACUGAAACAUCUAAGUACCCCGAGGAAAAGAAAUCAACCGAGAUUCCCCCAGUAGCGGCGAGCGAAUGGGGAGCAGCCCAGAGCCUGAAUCAGUGUGUGUGUUAGUGGAAGCGUCUGGAAAGGCGCGCGAUACAGGGUGACAGCCCCGUACACAAAAAUGCACAUGCUGUGAGCUCGAUGAGUAGGGCGGGACACGUGGUAUCCUGUCUGAAUAUGGGGGGACCAUCCUCCAAGGCUAAAUACUCCUGACUGACCGAUAGUGAACCAGUACCGUGAGGGAAAGGCGAAAAGAACCCCGGCGAGGGGAGUGAAAAAGAACCUGAAACCGUGUACGUACAAGCAGUGGGAGCACGCUUAGGCGUGUGACUGCGUACCUUUUGUAUAAUGGGUCAGCGACUUAUAUUCUGUAGCAAGGUUAACCGAAUAGGGGAGCCGAAGGGAAACCGAGUCUUAACUGGGCGUUAAGUUGCAGGGUAUAGACCCGAAACCCGGUGAUCUAGCCAUGGGCAGGUUGAAGGUUGGGUAACACUAACUGGAGGACCGAACCGACUAAUGUUGAAAAAUUAGCGGAUGACUUGUGGCUGGGGGUGAAAGGCCAAUCAAACCGGGAGAUAGCUGGUUCUCCCCGAAAGCUAUUUAGGUAGCGCCUCGUGAAUUCAUCUCCGGGGGUAGAGCACUGUUUCGGCAAGGGGGUCAUCCCGACUUACCAACCCGAUGCAAACUGCGAAUACCGGAGAAUGUUAUCACGGGAGACACACGGCGGGUGCUAACGUCCGUCGUGAAGAGGGAAACAACCCAGACCGCCAGCUAAGGUCCCAAAGUCAUGGUUAAGUGGGAAACGAUGUGGGAAGGCCCAGACAGCCAGGAUGUUGGCUUAGAAGCAGCCAUCAUUUAAAGAAAGCGUAAUAGCUCACUGGUCGAGUCGGCCUGCGCGGAAGAUGUAACGGGGCUAAACCAUGCACCGAAGCUGCGGCAGCGACGCUUAUGCGUUGUUGGGUAGGGGAGCGUUCUGUAAGCCUGCGAAGGUGUGCUGUGAGGCACGCUGGAGGUAUCAGAAGUGCGAAUGCUGACAUAAGUAACGAUAAAGCGGGUGAAAAGCCCGCUCGCCGGAAGACCAAGGGUUCCUGUCCAACGUUAAUCGGGGCAGGGUGAGUCGACCCCUAAGGCGAGGCCGAAAGGCGUAGUCGAUGGGAAACAGGUUAAUAUUCCUGUACUUGGUGUUACUGCGAAGGGGGGACGGAGAAGGCUAUGUUGGCCGGGCGACGGUUGUCCCGGUUUAAGCGUGUAGGCUGGUUUUCCAGGCAAAUCCGGAAAAUCAAGGCUGAGGCGUGAUGACGAGGCACUACGGUGCUGAAGCAACAAAUGCCCUGCUUCCAGGAAAAGCCUCUAAGCAUCAGGUAACAUCAAAUCGUACCCCAAACCGACACAGGUGGUCAGGUAGAGAAUACCAAGGCGCUUGAGAGAACUCGGGUGAAGGAACUAGGCAAAAUGGUGCCGUAACUUCGGGAGAAGGCACGCUGAUAUGUAGGUGAAGUCCCUCGCGGAUGGAGCUGAAAUCAGUCGAAGAUACCAGCUGGCUGCAACUGUUUAUUAAAAACACAGCACUGUGCAAACACGAAAGUGGACGUAUACGGUGUGACGCCUGCCCGGUGCCGGAAGGUUAAUUGAUGGGGUUAGCGCAAGCGAAGCUCUUGAUCGAAGCCCCGGUAAACGGCGGCCGUAACUAUAACGGUCCUAAGGUAGCGAAAUUCCUUGUCGGGUAAGUUCCGACCUGCACGAAUGGCGUAAUGAUGGCCAGGCUGUCUCCACCCGAGACUCAGUGAAAUUGAACUCGCUGUGAAGAUGCAGUGUACCCGCGGCAAGACGGAAAGACCCCGUGAACCUUUACUAUAGCUUGACACUGAACAUUGAGCCUUGAUGUGUAGGAUAGGUGGGAGGCUUUGAAGUGUGGACGCCAGUCUGCAUGGAGCCGACCUUGAAAUACCACCCUUUAAUGUUUGAUGUUCUAACGUUGACCCGUGAUCCGGGUUGCGGACAGUGUCUGGUGGGUAGUUUGACUGGGGCGGUCUCCUCCUAAAGAGUAACGGAGGAGCACGAAGGUUGGCUAAUCCUGGUCGGACAUCAGGAGGUUAGUGCAAUGGCAUAAGCCAGCUUGACUGCGAGCGUGACGGCGCGAGCAGGUGCGAAAGCAGGUCAUAGUGAUCCGGUGGUUCUGAAUGGAAGGGCCAUCGCUCAACGGAUAAAAGGUACUCCGGGGAUAACAGGCUGAUACCGCCCAAGAGUUCAUAUCGACGGCGGUGUUUGGCACCUCGAUGUCGGCUCAUCACAUCCUGGGGCUGAAGUAGGUCCCAAGGGUAUGGCUGUUCGCCAUUUAAAGUGGUACGCGAGCUGGGUUUAGAACGUCGUGAGACAGUUCGGUCCCUAUCUGCCGUGGGCGCUGGAGAACUGAGGGGGGCUGCUCCUAGUACGAGAGGACCGGAGUGGACGCAUCACUGGUGUUCGGGUUGUCAUGCCAAUGGCACUGCCCGGUAGCUAAAUGCGGAAGAGAUAAGUGCUGAAAGCAUCUAAGCACGAAACUUGCCCCGAGAUGAGUUCUCCCUGACCCUUUAAGGGUCCUGAAGGAACGUUGAAGACGACGACGUUGAUAGGCCGGGUGUGUAAGCGCAGCGAUGCGUUGAGCUAACCGGUACUAAUGAACCGUGAGGCUUAACCUU